ACCUUUCCAACUCACACAACCGAAGAAAAAACUUGCAAAACAUUUUCCAGGAUUCCAAAUACAGUAAAUUAUGAAGAAUGUGUUGUAUGCUGAUUUUCUCAACAACUUGCAGCAAACAAGUUAUGCAGACAUGCUGGAUUUUGCAGUGCAGCAUAUCAAAGGCCUUCAAAAUGAGGUGGAGAAACUCCACAAAGAAAUGGAAAAUUGUACCUGUGGAUGCGAAAAAUCAACCCCAUGAUUGUGUGAAAAUGGGGGCCUGGAGCGAUGGGCAAUUCUUUGCUCUCUGUAGGAAAAAUCAUCACUUCACGGCAAGGCAACCGAAAGUUAGAUUGUCUAUUAGAGCACCAUGAUGUUCGGCUGAAAUGGGAUGAACGUUAACCCGACAUAAAUGUGAAAAAAUUUUUUGAUUCAAGGAAUUUGAAGGCAGGGACUCAGGCAGGCUAAAGUUAUCUUACCAAAUUUCGGUUAACAACCGUAAAGUUAGGGAAUCAAACCCAGAACUGUAUAUAGUGAAGUGAUAUUGUUCACUUGUAGUUAAUCAGAGAUGAUGCAUGUAAAAAUGCUGUUUAAUUUCCCCUU